AGUGAACGCUGGCGGCAGGCCUAACACAUGCAAGUCGAACGGCAGCACAAGAGAGCUUGCUCUCUGGGUGGCGAGUGGCGGACGGGUGAGGAAUGCAUCGGAAUCUGCCCAUUUGUGGGGGAUAACCUCGGGAAACCGGGGCUAAUACCGCAUACGACCUACGGGUGAAAGCAGGGGAUCUUCGGACCUUGCGCAGAUGGAUGAGCCGAUGCCGGAUUAGCUAGUUGGAGGGGUAAAGGCCCACCAAGGCGACGAUCCGUAGCUGGUCUGAGAGGAUGAUCAGCCACACUGGGACUGAGACACGGCCCAGACUCCUACGGGAGGCAGCAGUGGGGAAUAUUGGACAAUGGGCGCAAGCCUGAUCCAGCCAUGCCGCGUGUGUGAAGAAGGCCUUCGGGUUGUAAAGCACUUUUGUUGGGAAAGAAAAGCAGCCGGUUAAUACCCGGUUGUCACGACGGUACCCAAAGAAUAAGCACCGGCUAACUUCGUG
rnacentral:rRNA from 1 species